rnacentral:lncRNA from 1 species
CACAGGGGCACGAGACAAGUCUAGGUCAACGUUAAAUGUUCCAGAAGAAUCUCCAUGGAGAUGUGGACUGUGAUUUGUUUAAGUCACUGCCGAAUUAAUAAGGCUUAAAGAGAAAUCUGAGGGGGAUAUAACCAAGCCCUGUUGCCAUGCCAACAAUUAUUCUUGCGGAUAAAGAAAAUAAAUGGACUGAAGUAUAAAGAUUGUCUUUUGAAGUCUGAUGGUUACCUUGGAAAUCUAGGCCCAGUGUUGCUGAUUCAUAAUAUAGGGUACCAUCUUUCUCAUGCCUUCAAAUUCUUUUCACUGUUAGAUGGGAGAUUUAGCAAGAGGGACAGACUUCCAGUAGCAAACCUCGUGAGAAAGACGAGAGCAAUGACUGAACUCAACCAAAGCUCUCUGUUUCCUAUGAGAGAGGACAUAGAGCGAGCGUAACAGAUCAGCACCAUGGACAGCGAGUACAGAGACUAAAGCUGUUCUGAGCAACAUACUGCAUACAUAAUUCAGGCGUGGUGUGUGGUCGUUGGACACUCAUAGCACAUCAUCCUACACGUGAUUUCCACAGAGUACUACUGUUUCAUUUGUCAUCUGUGCUGACACCCAAUAAGAUCCAUGUUAUUUAGUGAUAUGGGGGUUGACGCAUAAGCCGUGGUCCCCGGGGUUAUAUCUGCAGGGCUGACGGGUUUAGGGUCAAUACAUGUUAACGUCAAUCCACGGAGGCAAAAAGGACAAUGUCGGAGUUUGAUUCAAUACAAGCUGUGAAAGGAGAGUUGAAAAUGAAGAGAAGGGAGGGCCUGAACGGUAGUGUUUGGGAAAUAUUUGGUAAAGUGGUGAAAGAGGAUGAUAGCAGUGCUGGCUGUGUUAUGUGAUGAUUGUGAGGCGCUACAAAUUCGACAGUCACAAGAUGGGGACUUCAAAUAGGCCUAUCUCAAGGGAACUGUAGUCUACUGUUCAGGUUUCUAUUUCCACGCUGAAGAUGUCUAUAUUAUUGGUCCGUUAACUAGUAAAGGCCCAGUGCACUAUUUUUGUGAAAAAUGUUAACUAAAUGUAUUUGAGUGUUUACCAGCAUUUGUAACUUGAGUUUGAUAACUAUCGCUACAAAACAGUUAAUCUGAUAAUACUUGUGGAGUAUAAAAAUACUAUAUAUAUGUUUUCCAGUUUCUUGAAAUACUUUGCAAAUACAUCUUAUUUCUACAUGAAAACUGUUAUUGUCUAUUCAUUCAUUUUCUGUAGACGCUCUUUUCAAGAGCAACUUACAGUUGUCCAUACAUUUCAUACUGGUCCUUUGCGGGAAUG